rnacentral:rRNA from 1 species
GACGAACGCUGGCGGCGUGCUUAACACAUGCAAGUCGAACGGUGAAGCGCCUUCCUUUUUGGUGGGUGUGGAUGAGUGGCGAACGGGUGAGUAACACGUGAGUAACCUGCCCCCUUCUUCUGGAUAACCGCAUGAAAGUGUGGCUAAUACGGGAUAUUCUGGGUCUGUCGCAUGAUGGGUCUGGGAAAGAUAUUGUUUCGGUGGGGGAUGGGCUCGCGGCCUAUCAGCUUGUUGGUGGGGUGAUGGCCUACCAAGGCGGUGCCGGGUAGCCGGCCUGAGAGGGUGGACGGUCACACUGGGACGGAGACACGGCCCAGACUCCUACGGGAGGCAGCAGUGGGGAAUAUUGCACAAUGGGCGCAAGCCUGAUGCAGCGACGCCGCGUGAGGGAUGGAGGCCUUCGGGUUGUGAACCUCUUUCGCCAGUGAAGCAGGCCUGCCUCGUUUGUGGGUGGGUUGACGGUAGCUGGAUAAGAAGCGCCGGCUAACUACGUG